rnacentral:rRNA from 1 species
AGUGAACGCUGGCGGUAGGCCUAACACAUGCAAGUCGAACGGCAGCACAGUAAGAGCUUGCUCUUACGGGUGGCGAGUGGCGGACGGGUGAGGAAUACAUCGGAAUCUACUUUUUCGUGGGGGAUAACGUAGGGAAACUUACGCUAAUACCGCAUACGACCUACGGGUGAAAGCAGGGGAUCUUCGGACCUUGCGCGAUUGAAUGAGCCGAUGUCGGAUUAGCUAGUUGGCGGGGUAAAGGCCCACCAAGGCGACGAUCCGUAGCUGGUCUGAGAGGAUGAUCAGCCACACUGGAACUGAGACACGGUCCAGACUCCUACGGGAGGCAGCAGUGGGGAAUAUUGGACAAAGGGCGCAAGCCUGAUCCAGCCAUACCGCGUGGGUGAAGAAGGCCUUCGGGUUGUAAAGCCCUUUUGUUGGGAAAGAAACGCAGCAGGUUAAUACCCCGCUGUUCUGACGGUACCCAAAGAAUAAGCACCGGCUAACUUCGUG